GUGGGGAAUAUUGGACAAUGGGCGAAAGCCUGAUCCAGCCAUGCCGCGUGUGUGAAGAAGGUCUUCGGAUUGUAAAGCACUUUAAGUUGGGAGGAAGGGCAGUAAGUUAAUACCUUGCUGUUUUGACGUUACCGACAGAAUGAGCACCGGCUAACUUCGUGCCAGCAGCCGCGGUAAUACGAAGGGUGCAAGCGUUAAUCGGAAUUACUGGGCGUAAAGCGCGCGGAGGUGGUUUUGUAAGUUGGAGGUGAAAUCCCCGGGCUCAACCUGGGAACUGCCUCCAAAACUGCAUGACUAGAGUACGGUAGAGGGUGGUGGAAUUUCCUGUGUAGCGGUGAAAUGCGUAGAUAUAGGAAGGAACACCAGUGGCGAAGGCGACCACCUGGACUGAUACUGACACUGAGGUGCGAAAGCGUGGGGAGCAAACAGGAUUAGAAACCCCGGUAGUCC
rnacentral:rRNA from 1 species